rnacentral:rRNA from 1 species
AGAGUUUGAUCAUGGCUCAGAACGAACGCUGGCGGCAUGCUUCAUACAUGCAAGUCGAACGCGUGGCUUCGGCCACGAGUGGCGCACGGGUGAGUAACGCGUGGGAACCUGCCUUCUGGUUCGGAAUAACCACGGGAAACUGUGGCUAAUACCGGAUAAGCCCUACGGGGGAAAGAUUUAUCGCCAGUCGAGGGGCCCGCGUCCGAUUAGGUAGUUGGUGGGGUAACGGCCUACCAAGCCGACGAUCGGUAGCUGGUCUGAGAGGAUGAUCAGCCACACUGGGACUGAGACACGGCCCAGACUCCUACGGGAGGCAGCAGUAAGGAAUAUUGGACAAUGGGCGAAAGCCUGAUCCAGCAAUGCCGCGUGAGUGAUGAAGGCCCUAGGGUUGUAAAGCUCUUUCGGCGGGGACGAUGAUGACGGUACCCGCAGAAGAAGCCCCGGCUAACUUCGUGCCAGCAGCCGCGGUAAUACGAAGGGGGCUAGCGUUGUUCGGAAUUACUGGGCGUAAAGGGCGCGUAGGCGGCGCAUGAAGUCAGGCGUGAAAGCCCCGGGCUCAACCUGGGAAUUGCGCUUGAUACUCUUGUGCUUGAGUUCGGGAGAGGAGAGUGGAAUUCCCAGUGUAGAGGUGAAAUUCGUAGAUAUUGGGAAGAACACCGGUGGCGAAGGCGGCUCUCUGGACCGAUACUGACGCUGAUGCGCGAAAGCGUGGGGAGCAAACAGGAUUAGAUACCCUGGUAGUCCACGCCGUAAACGAUGUGCGCUUGACGUUGGGAGGCGUAGCCUCUCGGUGUCGUAGCUAACGCGAUAAGCGCACCGCCUGGGGAGUACGGCCGCAAGGUUAAAACUCAAAGGAAUUGACGGGGCCCGCACAAGCGGUGGAGCAUGUGGUUUAAUUCGACGCAACGCGCAGAACCUUACCAACCCUUGACAUGGGACGUUUGGGCUCGGGGAGACCGGGUUCUUCAGUUCGC